rnacentral:rRNA from 1 species
AGAAUCAACGCUGGCGGCGUGCCUAACACAUGCAAGUCGAACGCGAAAGGGGGGCAAUCCCUGAGUAGAGUGGCAAACGGGUGAGUAACACGUGGGUGACCUGCCUUCGAGUGGGGGAUAACGUCCCGAAAGGGACGCUAAUACCGCAUGACAUCCUGUCCUUGGAAGGACGGAGAUCAAAGCUGGGGAUCGUAAGACCUGGCGCUUGAAGAGGGGCCCGCGCCUGAUUAGCUAGUUGGCGGGGUAACGCUCACCAAGGCUACGAUCAGUA